UGCUAAUGAAAUUUAAUCUUUAUUUUUGUUGGGGCAUGAAGUUUUUUUGUUGGUUUUAUGAAUUUUAGGUAAAAUUAAAAUUUAUAUUUAGAGGUUUUUAUGUCAUUAAGAUUUUUGAAGGCGAAUUAGAUUAGUACCUAAUUAGUGAAAAAUUAAAUGUUCAGGAGUAAAGUGGUAUUUAAACUGAAAGAAUAUUGGCAGAUUUUCUAAAUUAUCUUUGGAGGUUGAGUGAUAAUUGAGAACCCUCAUUAACUACUUGGUUUUUUGGCUUAUGUAUGAUCGUUUAUUUUAAGCUUAAGGUUUAGGAUUUUAGGUUUUGACUGUAAAAAUAGAUAUAUAUUUAGUUUAUGAUUAAGUUAAUUUGACCUACAAUAUUUUGAAUUGUGUGGAUUAUUAAAUUAGUAUUAGUAUGAAAUUGUAAAAGACAGUAAGAAAGUUUUUAUAUCUUUUUGAAGAGUAUUUAGAAAUGG
rnacentral:rRNA from 1 species